GACGAACCGAGCGAACGUUGUUCGGAAUCACUGGGCUUAAAGGGCGCGUAGGCGGGUGCUCAAGUCUGUGGUGAAAUCCUCCGGCUCAACCGGAGAACUGCCAUGGAUACUGGGUGUCUCGAGGGUGGUAGGGGUAUGCGGAACUAUCGGUGGAGCGGUGAAAUGCGUUGAUAUCGAUAGGAACUCCGGUGGCGAAGGCGGCAUACUGGACCACCACUGACGCUGAUGCGCGAAAGCCAGGGGAGCAAACGGG
rnacentral:rRNA from 1 species